AGUCAACGCUGGCGGUAGGCCUAACACAUGCAAGUCGAACGGCAGCACAGUAAGAGCUUGCUCUUACGGGUGGCGAGUGGCGGACGGGUGAGGAAUACAUCGGAAUCUACUUUUUCGUGGGGGAUAACGUAGGGAAACUUACGCUAAUACCGCAUACGACCUACGGGUGAAAGCAGGGGAUCUUCGGACCUUGCGCGAUUGAAUGAGCCGAUGUCGGAUUAGCUAGUUGGCGGGGUAAAGGCCCACCAAGGCGACGAUCCGUAGCUGGUCUGAGAGGAUGAUCAGCCACACUGGAACUGAGACACGGUCCAGACUCCUACGGGAGGCGGCAGUGGGGAAUAUUGGACAAUGGGCGCAAGCCUGAUCCAGCCAUACCGCGUGGGUGAAGAAGGCCUUCGGGUUGUAAAGCCCUUUUGUUGGGAAAGAAAAGCAGCAGGUUAAUACCCCGCUGUUCUGACGGUACCCAAAGAAUAAGCACCGGCUAACUUCGUG
rnacentral:rRNA from 1 species